CUCUCUUUUUGGACUCAGCCCGCCUGCACCCAGGUGAAAUAAACAGCCAUGUUGCUCACACAAAGCCUGUUUGGUGGUCUCUUCACACGGACGCGCAUGAAAUUUGGUACCGUGACUCGGAUCGGGGGACCUCCCUUGGGAGAUCAAUCACCUGUACUCCUGUUCUUUGCUCCGUGAGAAAGAUCCACCUAUGACCUCAGGUCCUCAGACCGACCAGCCCAAGGAACAUCUCACCAAUUUUAAAUCAGCCACUCCCAGAACCCCUGGAACUCUGGCCCAAGGCUCUCUGACUCCUUCCCAGAUCUUCUCGGCUUAGCGGCUGAAGACUGACACUGCCCGAUCGCCUCGGAAACCCCCUAGACCAUCACGGACGCCGAGCUUCAGGUAACUCUCACAGUGGAAGCCUUCUUUAGUGGAGUUGAGGCAUUCCACAUGUUCCAUCAUAGCUGAUCCAGAUACAGAAACUACAAAGAAAUACAGUGCAUAUGAAGCAACCCAAGGUCAGAGGACUUAGGAGAAGAGAGGCAAGCUUGUGAAUAACCAGGACUUUACCAUGAAGAGAGCAACUCACUGUAUUAAGCAAAAUUUAUUGAACCUACCGUUAAAAGAAAAACCUUAGACAAAUUAAAUUUAGCAGAGUUUAAUUGAGCAAAGAAUGAUUCGUGAAUUGGGAAGCCUCUGAACCAAAAUAGGUUCAGAGAGGAUCCAGCCUGCCUUAUGGUGGAAGAUUUGUGGACAGAAAAAGGAAAGUGAAGUACAGAAAUGGAAGUGAGGUAUAGAAACAGCCAGAUUGGCUACAGCUUGCUGUUGGUCUUAUUUGAACAUGGUUUGAACAGUUGGCUGUCCUCUAUUGGCUAAAACUCAGGGACUGGCACAAGAGUAGGUUACAGUCUGUUUACACAUCAAGUUAGGUUAUAGUUCACUGUGUAUGGAGAAACCUUUAAAAUAUGUAAAGAGGUGGCUUUUGGCUAAACUUAAUUAAACACUACUAUGUGAAAGAUUGUGUAAUACUGAAUUCUAUUAUAUUCUUUAAAACCUUUCUUCUGCCUUUUUUUUUUUUCUGAGACGGAGUCUUGCUCUGUCACCCAGGCUGGAGUGUAGUGGCACGAUCUUGGCUCACUGCAACCUUUGCCUCCCAGAUUCAAGCAAUUCUCCUCCCCCAGCCUCCCGAGUAGCUAGGUUUACAGGAGCCCACCACUGUGCCCAGCUAAUUUUUGUAUUUUUAGUAGAGACAGGGUUUCACCACGUUGGCCAGGCUGGUCUCGAACUCCUGACCUCGUGACCCUCCCACCUCGGGCUCCCAAAGUGCUGGGAUUACAGGUAUGAGAAACUGUGCCCAGCCUCUUCUGCCUUUUUUUAUUGUAGGAAAAUGUAUGUAAAUUUACAUAAAAUUUACGAAAACUUACAUCAAAAAUUUUCAUAACUUAAACUCACCAUUUUAACCAUUUUAAAGUAUAAAAUUCAGUGACAUUUAGUACAUUUACAGUGUUGUGUAAUCAUCACCCCUAUCUAGAUUCAAAAUAUUUCCAUCGCCCUCUAAAACAACUCCCAAGAUACUAUUUGCUCCACUAUUCAGAAAAUAUCAUGCAAAGGAAAUCAAACAAAAUGCAGCCUUUUUUGUCUAGCUUUUUUCACUUAGCAUGUUUUUAAAGUUCAUCCACAUUUCAGCAUGUGUGUUUUUUUUUUUUUAGACAGAGUUUCGCUCUUGUUGCCCAGGCUGGAGUGCAGUGGUGCAAUCUCGGCUCACUGCAACCUCCAUCUCCCAGGGUCAAACGAUUCUCCUACCUCAGCCUCCCAAGUAGCUGAGAUUACAGGCAUUUGCCUCCAUGCCCAGCUAAUUUUGUAUUUUUAGUAGAGGUGGGAGUUCACCAUGUUGGUCAGGCUGGUCUUGAACUCCUAACCUCAGGUGAUCCACCUACCUCAGCCUCCCAAAGUGCUGGGAUUACAGGCGUGAGCCACUGUGCCCGGCCCACUUCAUUUCUUUUUAAGACCAAAUGAUAUUUUAUUAAAUAGAUAAACCUUAUUUUUGUCUAUCCAUUUAUAAGUUAAUGGACAUUCACUUUUUGACUAUUGUGAAUACUGCUCUUAUAAAUACCUUUGUACAAGGUUUUGGAUUUUUUUCAUUUUUCUUUCUUUUUUUUCCUUUGUGUUUACCCUGUCAGAACUAAGCAGAGGGAAGCAGAAAAAGCAUAGGCCAGGACAAGUUGUACAAGUUUUCGUAUGAACAAAAAGACAGAGAUAGCAAGUAUUCGCAAGGAUUUGAAGAAAAGCAAACCCUUAUAAACUCUUGGUGGAAAUAUAAACUGAUAUAGCCAUUAUUAAAAAAUAGUAUAGAGGUUCCUCAUAAAACUAAAAAUAGGACUACCAUAUGAUUCAGCAAUUCCACCACUGGGUAUAUAUCUAAAGGACAUGAAAUCUGUAUAUCUGUGCUCUUAUAUUCAUUGUAGCAUUCUUCACAAUAAAUAAGAUCCAAACUAAGUGUCGAUCAAUAGAUGAAAAUAUGAUAUGUGUGUGUACAUGUAGUAAUAUGUAUGUAUGUAUGCAUAAUAUAUAUAUAAUAUGUAUAAAUGUGAUAAAUACAUAGAUAUACAGAAUGAAAUAAUAUUCAGCCAUAAAAUAGAAGGAAAUCUUUCCAUUAGUGACAAUGUGGGGAUGAACCUGGAGGACAUUAUACUAAGUGAAAUAAGCCAGACACAGACAAAUACUGCGUGAUCUCACUUAUAUAUGAGGUCUUUUUCUUAACUCAGUAGUUACUUGGUUGCUGUAAACCUUUGUUUAUUUUUAAGAGUUCCAAAAAGGUUGAUUUUCACAGUUCUUGCUCAAUUUUUUCUGAGUUUCAUUGAGGAUAUGAGCCCUUGGAGCUCUCUCCUCCACCAUUUGAACUCUCUGAUCUUUUUGUGCAAGUAGCCGAUGGUUCACAAGAUAUGAUCUGGAGGGAGAGCACAAGGAAUGUUCAGAGAUUAUAUGACUUACUUUUGCUUAUACAACAUUUUAGCACUUACGGAGCAUUUUCAUGUGGUGAAUACAUAAAGAAGUUUGCCACAUGUGACCGUCAUUAUAGUUCAUAUUUUUGAAGGUAAAGUCAUCUUUUUUGACAUUAAUAAUGAAUGCUUAAGAGGAAAGUGUGAGUUUACUAGAGAAUCUAUACAUAGAAAAAGAUCAAAAGUCUAGUUAGAUUUGCAUGAGAAUCUAGAGGUAUAAAAAGUAUUGUUUUCGAUUGAGGGUCUCUGGAACCAGGUGCUAAGAUUUGGAAGGGAGGAAAAGGAUGGAGAAUUCACAAAGGAUGAAGUCUAACUGUGGUGCAGACCCCAUAAACUUUUAAUCAUUUCCACCAGGAGUUAUGUAGCUUAUGUUUGUCCCAGCGUGGACCAGAAUGAUUGGAACUUUACACCCAACUUCAGUCACUGCAUAUUCCACUGGAAGCAUAUGACCUCAGACGGGAUGAUUCCCUGUGGUUGAGGCACCAGCUAGAGGAGUUGACGGUUAGGGCAACAAGGGUGACAGUUUGGAUGUGUGUCCCCUCCAAAUCUCAUGUUGAAAUGUGAUCCCCAAUGUUGGAGGUGGGGUCUGGUGAGAAUUGUUGGAUCAUGGGGGUGGAUCCCUCGUGAAUGGCUUAGUGCCAUCCCUUUUGUGAUGAGUGAGUUCUCAGUUAGUUCACAGGAUGUCUGGUUGUUUCAGAGUGUGGCAAUUCCUCCUCCUCUCUUUCUUGUUCCCUCUUGCCACGUGAUAUACUGCCUCCCCAUUUGCCUUCUGCCAUGAUUGUAAGCUCCCUGAGGCCCUAACCAGGAGGAGAUGCCCACAACAUGCUUCUUGUAUUGCCUACAG